CACCACUUGGUGAAAAUUAAGUCGUAAAGAGCAAAGUUUAGUAGUUUAUUAUCGAACAACUUUGAGACUAAUAAGAAA
rnacentral:sRNA from 12 species